CAUGGAAUAAUUUAGCUACCGCCACUAAAACUAUAGAAAGAGCUCAGCUCGGACAUACAAUACUGGAAAUGUUGUUAGGCAGAGGUUCAACAACUUCUUGAUAUCCAAACUAUCAUGUUGGCAAUCACAUGACAUUUACAUAAACACAUGAUCAAUUUAAAAUUUCCACCAGUAUCAUGUUCAUUUCUAUUUACUAAAUGUUUGAUGUUUGAUUUACUCUAAGCUUUCACAUGAUUAGAUCUGGAUGUGACCAUGCUCUACUCUAUUUUUUCAAUCAAAUUAUAAAAGCUAUAUAUCUUAUGGCGCACGGCGGUUGAUCCAUAACAAAUUCACUUCUCCAAAGAAUCAGAGAGACAUGGAUUUAUUUCUAGGACUCUUACAGGUUCAUUUCUAUUUACUAAAUGUUUGAUGUUUGAUUUACUCUAAGCUUUCACAUGAUUAGAUCUGGAUGUGACCAUGCUCUACUCUAUUGUUAAUUAGGCGUAUGGAUUUAUUUCUAGGACUCUUACAGGGUCUUUCGUGUCCCUAUAUAAGCACACUUGAAUGUUGUACAAAGGAGUCCAAUUUAUGAAUUAAACUGAGAAUUUUCGAUUGUAAUUUUGAGAGGUGGAUCUCCUCUUUUUUCUAUGUUCUUGUGGAUUCAAGUACUAUUAUAUUUUAUCUUUUCUUCAAACCCCUUUCCCUUAUAAGUCCAUCUCGUCCUAGAUCAGGAGACCACAAAUAUAGGAAGACAAACAAUCUCUAACACUUGCACGCAUGCGCACCAAAACAGACUCGACUUUUGAAGGCACAAAGAUGUUACUUCAGCAGCUAUUGUUAAUGACACCUUUACUGUGAAACGGUAUUGACACUCCAAAAAAGUUUAACCACACUCCCACUAUUCUAUACUUUGAUGCAAAAAUUAAAAACAAAGGUGGAACAAUGGGAGUGUGGUUCAACAUUUUUUGGAUUACCACUAUCACCGCCCCUUUAGCUGCCGUAGAAUGCACACUUUUCUAGCAAAAGAUCCAUUUGGUAUUGUCAUCCCAUGGGACAGCAGUGCAAAUUCUAAAAUUUUGAGGAACUUCCCCAAAACUCAUCCCUUUUGGAGUGUUAUCCUGCGAGCACCAACAUCAAACAAAUAGCAAUUAAGACAAACUUGUACGCACUCAUGGAGCAUAGAUG
rnacentral:lncRNA from 1 species